CGAGGUGUAGCGCAGCUGGUAGCGCGCCUGCUUUGGGAGCAGGAUGUCGCAGGUUCAAGUCCUGUCACCUCGA
rnacentral:tRNA from 1 species